rnacentral:rRNA from 1 species
GAUGAACGCUGGCGGCGUGCUUAACACAUGCAAGUCGAACGAAGCACUUUGAAAGCUUGCUCUCGAAGUGACUGAGUGGCGGACGGGUGAGUAACGCGUGGAUAACCUGCCUCACACAGGGGGAUAACAGUUAGAAAUGACUGCUAAUACCGCAUAAUCCCCCGGUACCGCAUGGUACCGAGGGAAAAGAUUUGACCGGGUUAAGAUGGAUCCGCGUCUGAUUAGCUAGUUGGUGGGGUAACGGCCCACCAAGGCGACGAUCAGUAGCCGACCUGAGAGGGUGACCGGCCACAUUGGGACUGAGACACGGCCCAAACUCCUACGGGAGGCAGCAGUGGGGAAUAUUGCACAAUGGGCGCAAGCCUGAUGCAGCGACGCCGCGUGAGUGAAGAAGUAUUUCGGUAUGUAAAGCUCUAUCAGCAGGGAAGAUAAUGACAGUACCUGACUAAGAAGCUCCGGCUAAAUACGUGCCAGCAGCCGCGGUAACAC